rnacentral:pre_miRNA from 1 species
UCUCAUGGCUGAUCAAAUAAAAUGGUUCCUUGUGAUGGAAUCUACUGGUGAAGAUGCUAAGAA